rnacentral:rRNA from 1 species
AUGCUUAAGUCUGUCCGAAUCAUGUUAGCAAUUGCCGCAUUUUAUAAUUAUGAAAUUUGGCAGAUGGAUGUCAAAACUGCAUUCCUGAAUGGAUUUCUAGAAGAAGAGUUGUAUAUGAUGCAACCGGAAGGUUUUUUCGAUCCAAAGGGAGCUAACAAAGUGUGCAAGCUCCAACGAUCCAUUUAUGAACUGGUGCAAGCUUCUCAGAGUUGGAAUAAACGCUUUGAUAGUGUGAUCAAAGCAUUUGGUUUUGUACAAACUUUUGGAGAAGCCUGCAUUUAUAAGAAAGUGAGUGGGAGCUCUGUAGCAUUUCCGAUAUUAUAUGUAGAUGACAUAUUACUAAACGGAAAUGAUAUAGAAUUUCUGGAUAGCAUAAAGAGAUACUUGAAUAAGAGUUUUUCAAUGAAAGACCUCGGUGAAGCUGCUUACAUGUUGGGCAUUAAGAUCUAUAGAGAUAGAUCAAGACACUUAAUUGGACUUUCACAAAGCACGUACCUUGACAAAAUUUUGAAGAAGUUCAAAAUGGAUAAAGCAAAGAAAGGAUUCUUGCCUGUGUUACAAGGUGUGAAAUUGAGUAAGACUCAAUGCCCGACCAAUGCAAAAGAUAGAGAGAAAAUGAAAGAUGUUCCCUAUGCUUCAGCCAUAGGAUCUAUCAUGUAUGCAAUGCUGUGUACCAGACCUGAUGUGUGUCUUGCUAUAAGUCUAGCAGAGAGGUACCAAAGUAAUCCAGGAGUGGAUCACUGGACAACGGUCAAGAACAUCCUGAAAUACCUGAAAAGGACUAAGGAUAUGUUUCUCAUAUAUGGAGGUGACAAAGAGCUCAUCAUAAAUGGUUACGUUGAUGCAAGCUUUGACACUGAUCCGGACGAUUCUAAAUCGCAAACCGGAUAUGUGUUUACAUUAAACAGUGGAGCUGUCAGUUGGUGCAGUUCUAAACAAAGCAUUGUGGCGGGAUCUACAUGUGAAGCGGAGUACAUAGCUGCUUCGGAAGCAGCAAACGAAGGAGUCUGGAUGAAGGAGUUCAUAUCCGAUCUAGGUGUCAUACCUAGUGCAUCGGGUCCAAUGAAAAUCUUUUGUGACAAUACUGGUGCAAUUGCCUUGGCAAAGGAAUCCAGAUUUCACAAAAGAACCAAGCACAUCAAGAGACGCUUCAAUUUCAUCCGGGAUCUAGUCCAGGUGGGAGACAUAGAGAUUUGCAAGAUACAUACGGAUUUGAAUGUUGCAGACCCAUUGACUAAGCCUCUUCCACGAGCAAAACAUGAUCAACACCAAAGCUCCAUGAGUGUUAGAAUCAUUACUGUGUAA